GACAGAGGGUGCAAACGUUGUUCGGAAUUACUGGGCGUAAAGCGCGUGUAGGCGGCUCGGAAAGUCGGAUGUGAAAGCCCUGGGCUUAACCUAGGAAGUGCAUUCGAAACUCCCGAGCUUGAGUUCUGGAGAGGAAGGCGGAAUUCUCGGUGUAGAGGUGAAAUUCGUAGAUAUCGAGAGGAACACCGGUGGCGAAGGCGGCCUUCUGGACAGUGACUGACGCUGAGACGCGAAAGCGUGGGGAGCAAUCCGG
rnacentral:rRNA from 1 species